rnacentral:tRNA from 1 species
GCCUGGGUGGCUCAGUCGGUUAAGCGUGUGACUUCGGUUUGGGUCAUGAUCUCACAGUCUGUGAGUUCGAGCCCCACGUCAGGCU